rnacentral:rRNA from 1 species
AUACGGAGGGUGCAAGCGUUACUCGGAAUCACUGGGCGUAAAGCGCGCGCAGGCGGGCUGAUAAGUUGGAUGAGAAAGCCUACGGCUCAACCGUAGAACUGCAUCCAAAACUGUCAGUCUAGAGUGUGGGAGAGGAAGAUGGAAUUAGUUGUGUAGGGGUAAAAUCCGUAGAGAUAACUAGGAAUACCAAAAGCGAAGGCAAUCUUCUGGAACACUACUGACGCUGAGGCGCGAAGGCGUGGGGAGCAAACAGGAUUAGAAACCCCGGUAGUCC